UACGUAGGGCGCAAGCGUUGUCCGGAAUUAUUGGGCGUAAAGAGCUCGUAGGUGGCUUGUCGCGUCUGCCGUGAAAGCCCAUGGCUUAACUGUGGGUCUGCGGUGGAUACGGGCAGGCUGGAGGCUGGUAGGGGCAAGCGGAAUUCCUGGUGUAGCGGUGAAAUGCGCAGAUAUCAGGAGGAACACCGGUGGCGAAGGCGGCAUCCUGGACCGGUAUUGACACUGAGGCGCGAAAGCCAGGGGAGCAAACGGG
rnacentral:rRNA from 1 species